GAUGGAUUGGUGCCUUCGGGAACUCUGAGACAGGUGCUGCAUGGCUGUCGUCAGCUCGUGUUGUGAAAUGUUGGGUUAAGUCCCGCAACGAGCGCAACCCUUAUCCUUGUUUGCCAGCGAGUAAUGUCGGGAACUCCAGGGAGACUGCCGGUGAUAAACCGGAGGAAGGUGGGGACGACGUCAAGUCAUCAUGGCCCUUACGAGUAGGGCUACACACGUGCUACAAUGGCGCAUACAGAGGGCAGCCAACUUGCGAGAGUGAGCGAAUCCCAAAAAGUGCGUCGUAGUCCGGAUUGGAGUCUGCAACUCGACUCCAUGAAGUCGGAAUCGCUAGUAAUCGUGGAUCAGAAUGCCACGGUGAAUACGUUCCCGGGCCUUGUACACACCGCCCGUCACACCAUGGGAGUGGGCUGCAAAAGAAGUAGGUAGUUUAACCUUCGGGGGGACGCUUACCACUUUGUGGUUCAUGACUGGGGUGAAGUCGUAACAAGGUAGCGCUAGGGGAACCUGGCGCUGGAUCACCUCCUUAAACGAUGAU
rnacentral:rRNA from 1 species